AAAAUGGAGAGUUUGAUCCUGGCUCAGGAUGAACGCUGGCGGUAUGCUUAACACAUGCAAGUCGAACGGUCUUUUAGGAGACAGUGGCGGACGGG
rnacentral:rRNA from 1 species